rnacentral:rRNA from 1 species
CCUACGGGUGGCAGCAGUGAGGAAUAUUGGUCAAUGGGCGCGAGCCUGAACCAGCCAAGUCGCGUGAGGGAUGACGGUCCUACGGAUUGUAAACCUCUUUUGCCGGGGAGCACACGUGCGUUCGUGAACGCGUGUCGACAGUACCCGGAGAAACAGCAUCGGCUAACUACGUGCCAGCAGCCGCGGUAAUACGGAGGAUGCGAGCGUUAUUCGGAUUUAUUGGGUUUAAAGGGUGCGUAGGCGGGAUGCGAAGUCAGCGGUAAAAAUGCGGGGCUCAACGCCGGCGAGCCGUUGAUACUGGCGAUCUUGAGUGGGCUAGAAGUAAGCGGAAUGCGUGGUGAAGCGGUGAAAUGCAUAGAUAUCACGAAGAACUCCAAUGGCGAAGGCAGCAUACCGGCGCCAUACUGACGCUGAGGGACGAAAGCGUGGGUAUCGAACAGGAUUAGAUACCCGAGUAGUC